rnacentral:rRNA from 1 species
GAGGAAUAUUGGGCAAUGCCCGAAAGGGUGACCCAGCAACGCCGCGUGAAGGAUGGAGGCCGUAAGGUUGUAAACUUCUUUUGUAUGGGACGAAAAAGCUUGUUGAUAGCAAGCAUUGACGGUACCUUAAGAAAAAGCCCCGGCUAACUACGUGCCAGCAGCCGCGGUAAUACGUAGGGGGCAAGCGUUGUCCGGAUUUACUGGGUGUAAAGGGCGCGUAGGCGGGUUUGUAAGUCAGCGGUGAAGUCCUAUAGCUUAACUAUAGAACUGCCGUUGAUACUGCAAGUCUUGAGUUUGGAAGAGAGUAGCGGAAUUCCAGGUGUAGUAGUGAAAUACGUAGAUAUCUGGAAGAACACCAGUGGCGAAGGCGGCUACUUGGUCCAUAACUGACGCUGAGGCGCGAAAGCGUGGGGAGCAAAC